rnacentral:lncRNA from 1 species
UAGUCAAAAUUAAGAUAAUAUUAUUAUAAAAUCAACAUAAUAACAAUAAUUCAGGACUAAUCAAGAAGUCAAACAAACUACUUACUAAAAUCUCCAAGACCCGAAAGUCAUCAUACAAGAACUAAUAACAAAGAUCAUGUCUAAAGAGAUUUCCAAAAAUAAAGUAAAUAAAGAUUGUUUUCAUUGCCCGAAAUAUGGACAAGAACAAAUAAGAUGACCCAUGGCAUCCUGGAGACGAAGUGCUCACCCUUGGAUCAAGAUCUGCUAUCAAACUCUAGAGGUAAGGUCAUGUCUGAGCCUCUAGAACACUUUCUGCAUUCAACAAAAGAAGAGUACAGGGUAGUAUCAGUACAAACCACUAUGUACUGGUAGGUAUCAUAGGCCAACUCAAUUUAAUAACAUGUACACAACAUAAAUCAAAUAACAAGUAAUCAGGCAUCGUCACAUAAUAAAUAUUCAAGGAAUCAACAAUACAGCAACAACAGGUCAAACAAUGCUCACAAACAAGCCACAUAACCAUCAAAAGAAUCAACCAUACUGUAAACAUCCACAGAAUCAACACAAAUACGUACACACAUGCUAACAUAUCCGCACUGGCGUGGUACCCGAUCCAACAUAUACAUAUCCAUACCGGUGCGGUACCCGAUCCAACAUAUACAUAUCCGUAUCGGCGUGGUACCCGAUCCAACAUAUACAUAUCCGCACCGGCGUGGUACUCGAUCCAACAUAUACAUAUUCCCACCGGCGUGGUACCCGAUCCAGCAUAUAUAUAUUCGUACUAGCAUGGUACCCAAUCCAACAUCUACAUAUCUGUACCGGCGUGGUACCUGAUCCAACAUAUAUAUAUUCGUACCGGCAUGGUACCCGAUCCAACAUAUACAUAUUUGUAUCGGUAUGGUACCCAAUCCAACAUAUACAUAUCCGUACCGGAGUGGUACCUAAUCCAACAUAUACAUAUCCGUACCGGCGUGGUACCCGAUCCAAUAUAUACAUAUUCGUACCGGCAAGGUAUCCAAUCCAACAUAUACAUAUCCGUACCAACGUGGUACCCAAUCUAACAUAUACAUAUCCGUACCGGUGUGGUACCCGAUCCAACAUAUACAAGUAAUAUCAAUAUAAAAUUUAUACUAUCUCACAGCAUACAACAUGAAGCACCAAGUUUACAAGUACACUUAAAGUCAUAAGAUAAUUUCAUCAAGUAAAUUUUCAAAACUUAUUUAUACACGCAUCAACAAUCCAAACAUCAGUAAUUUCAAGCACGUCCAAAUACCAAUCAACAAGUAUUCAAUUUAGGAGCACACACACAAUAAAGUCGAGUCUAAACUCCAAUUAAGCCGUAACCUACCUCAACCGAAGAAUCCAACUGCAAGCUAAUUUGCAAGGGUCUUGCCCUUCCGUAAAACUUCCAAAUAUUUCAAAGUUGUACAAAUAUAUAAUCCUCAUAAGAGUACGAACUAGUACAUUAAAUUUCAACUAAAAAGAUUCAUCCUUCUACCUCCAAAUCAAGAAUUGCCACCCUAAGAAUUCUAGACCAAAAAUUCUAAAUGUCACAUUAUAUCCGAUAAUCACUCAGUAAUUUUUGAAACCAAAACUGAAAAGAAAAGAAUAAAAGUUGUUACUCCUGGACUUUAUGCGUGAACAGGAAACUGUAACUUACAAAUUGCAUGAGAAAUAUAACUUUUGGCACUCUAUAUCAUUAUUAUCUUAUAAUUAGCAAUCAUUACUUUACCACUAAUUUGUAUAGUCAAUGAUUAACUAAUCAUGACAACUAUAGGUAUUACUUACUUAACAGAAAACAAUUUAUCCAAAUCUUUCUUUUUUUUACGAUCUUCAUUGUACCGUGGUUAUAUACCCAAUACACCCUAUAGCACUGUCAUAAGAGAAUGAUUAAUUAAUCAUUACUUUAUUAUAUAUUUACUAAUUAAAUCAAAUUCUUAAUAUAGUAGGAAGCUAACCUGAAAGAUGUCAGAAUUCUAUGAAGCGGUAAUGGAAACUAGGAUUUGCUACCCAUCGUUCACCUCUUCUUCCGACUAUUUGCUUCUAUUUUUAUUAUAUAAAGUAAAGCCUUCCCACUUAAAUUAAUUCUUGUAUUGGCCUUAUAAGAAAAUAAAUUAAAACUUUGGCCCACUAAAUCGUUAUUAAAUUCAUUAUUUAAAAUACCCAAGACUUAUAAUAGAUCAUCGAAAUUUAUCAGGACCUCGAGAAAAUGAUUCAAAUAAUGACUUAAAUCACUUCCGUACAUCUCAAAAAUUGAUACUACUUAUCCGGUGGGUCAUAAAUUCACGUGCAUAAAUUUCGGAGAGAGCUAAAAUUGGGAAGAUGAGAAAUUUUCACAAAUGAUCGGAAGGAUCGUUACAUCAGAUACCAAUUAAACAACCGUUCGUCCUCCAACGAUAACAAGUAACAAGGAGGGAAAACAAGAAAUUAUAUGUAUCAGUAAAAAGAUUUAGAUACUUGCUACACAUGUCUGCUUCGAUCUCCCAACUGGCUUUCUCAAUAGGACGAUUCCACCACUGGACUUUCACAGACUCAAUCUCCUUAGUCCUCAACUUACGGACAACCAAAUACCUAGCCGAGCCUAUGUGUACCCCCACCGCCCCAGACUCGAAAGGUUCAAUCAACAUACAACAACACAAGACAUAUUCUUCACCCAUAUAUAUGUAACCGUCCUAUACCGGCUGAUAAAUAUAGGUACAUACUGGUGAUAGGCGAUGCGCAUGCAGGAAUGAAUGCAAAGUACACAAUCAAUAUCACAACUCAUCAUAACUAUCCUCAUUAGGACCAUCAUCAUCGUAAUCAACCUUCGGCCUUGCCGAAUAUCAACACACCAUCAAUAGUAUCCUCAGGCCUUGCCGGGUGUCAACAUGUUAUAAAUAUAUUCUCCGACCUUUUCAGAUAUCAACAUCAUCACAACAGUAUCCUCCGGCCUUGUCGAGAAUUAAUAUAUCAUCAUAGUAGUCAUUACUGAAUAACAUACACUAAAAUACUCAUAAAAAAUAGUCAUUUCACCAUAGAAUAUCUAUCUAGUCAAUACUUCUCAACUACACGUUAUUAGCUAACCAACACUUAUUAUAAUAGAAUUACUAGUUCGCUAGUCAUAACAUAACCUCUAGUUAUUAGCCUAAACAUUAUCCACAUAAUCCUUAUUCCCGGGAUAGAAACUAACCAUUAUUUAUUUAAGAGCCAACAUCUAACAUCUAGUCAAGGUUCAUCACUUGACCAAAACCAUCAUUUAUCCACCAUUCAUUAUUAUCAACUAAUCAUCCUAUAUCCGUUAUUCAUUACUAGACAAUACAUUACUAUAUGUCACCUAACCAUCUUUUAUUAACUGACACCAUUCAUUAUCUAACCAUCGUUUACCAACCAAUCCUUACUUAACUAUUCAUUAGUUAACGAUUUAGAAUCUAUUCAAAGUUAUUAACUAGUCGCCUCUUAUUACCAACAUCUCUUAUUAUCUAGCCUCAUUAACACACAACUCCUCAUUUAUGACUAAUCGACAUCAUGAACUUAGUCAUCAAUACCAACUAAUCUUCAUCUAUACUAGACCCGACCAUACUAUAAGUCACGCAUUAAUCAUCGCUAGCUACUAUGUUUCAACUAAUCAAGAUUCAUUAAUUAAUACAUUAGAUUAAUAGCCAUCACACGUAUCCAAUUAAUAAAGUCGUAAGUAGCAUACCUUAUCUUCCUCUAUCUCAUACCGGAGAGAUGUGUAUACAAACAUAUAUAUAUUCAUAAACUGUAAUCAUAUCCUUUACACUGAUAAACACUCCUCAGAUAUUCAAUCAUUAUCAUAACAUGGCCUUUGGCUCGUUAAUUUAUCUGGAAUAGUCACAACAUCAUAAUCACGACCUUAGGCCCAUAUACAUAUCCAAAACUCAUAUUGAUAAUCAUAUUUAUAAGUCGUAGCAUAUCUCUAAUCAUCUCACAUAUAGGAGGUAUCUCACAUAUUGAAGGCAUAAUAUAGAUAGAUAUGUAAUUGUUUAUAGGAUAUCUUAUAUUGAUAGGUCAUACAUUAUGACCACGAGGAAUAUCACCUCUCUAGGCCAAUUUGCAUAUCUAAGAGGAACAUCGUCUCUAUAGGUCUAAUAAUCAUGACUAAAGGAAAUAGCAACUCUAUGGGUCGAUUAUCUCGUCUAAGAGGAAAUAGCAUCUCUAUAGGACACAUAACGUAUCUAGGAGGGAUAUCAUCUCUAAAUGUCCAAUAUCACUUCCAUAAGAAGUAUCCUAACCAUAAUUCAAAAGCCACAUUCCGGGAACAUCAAUAUAAGUUACCAUGUUAUGAAGUAACCUUAUUCUAAGCUUUACUAGCCUCAUUUAUGUCUAACAUCCGCAACUAAGUCCACAAGACUUAUCACAAGUUUAGGUCUAAGUGGGUUAAACGAUCCCACUUCUAAUUCUCAAUUUCCACAAUUAGGCUCACUAUGCCCCAAACUAGGCUAAGGUAUCUAGUUCAUCUUCUAGAUGUCAAGUAAGUCAUAUUCAAGCCUAAGAUAGCAACUUCGACUAAAAAUAAGGAUACUCAAGUCAACUCUACCCAACUUACGGUUUCAAGACUACCACACAAGCCCAAAAAAGCUAAAUAUACAAAUCAUGCUUCAAAUACUAAAACCACAUCCCACAUAGAGGUUUACAUCAUAACCACGCUACAACUAAUCUAAAAUAGAGAGGGGAAGCAAUAGAACUCAAAAGGGUUAUAAGCAUGCCAUUUUAUGGAUCCCAAGCCCGCAUCUAAACUCCAAACAUCAACAAUCGAGUCCAAGUCAUCCUACUCAUAACAAGCCUAACAUCUAUACCCACACCCAAUAUAUAUCACACAUCAUCUAUGAAGAAAAGUAGACAGAAGUCUACCAGAACCCACACUUAGAAAACUUUACAUUAAGCUUUUUAUCUUCUAACAAACCUAAAACAAUCCUUAAUUAUUUUAUGAAUGUAACUAAGCCAUUUGAUUUUGCAUUGCCAUUAUCAUGGAAAUUACUAUCCUCUAAAAGUGUCAUAUAUCAACAACUUUGGGGGACAUGCAAAUGUAUAAUUCAGCCACAAGGUCAAGUAAUAAUAAUUUGUCUUCCCAAAAUUUUUUCUAAUGCAUAAAUCCACAGCUACAACUUAUGUCCUAACAAUCACUAACACAAUAUUUUUCAACGACAAACACUUCAUGGUCAAGCCAAACCUCUCUUAUAUCAUUAACACCAAUUUAAGAUAUACAGAAUCAUUCUUAUUUCUACUUAACAAUAUUUUUAUUACGGAUUUUACUUGACUCUUAAUCACCUCAAGAGUGGUCCCCACACCACUAGCACAUAAGCAAGGUCAAACAAAAUAAAUCGAUUAUAGGUCAUUGAUAGUCUCAUCACCAAUAUCACAUUUCAGACAAGUCCUUGAUCAAAUUCUAUAGGUAUCAACAACCUCUACUAGUUUUUGUCACCUUUAUUUAAAAAUCAUUAUUUUGUCAAGCAUUAAGAAUUCAUUCACAUAAGGAACUCAAAGAUAAUGUCACUUAGCUAGUCCUCACAAGGAACCCAUUAUAAUUUCAAUAAUAGAACUGCAAAAAAAAUUCUAAAUAAGAUCUUAAUGACCGGACCACACAAGGAUCUCCAAAUAAUAUCAAAUAAUCAAACUACACAAGGAUCCAUCCACAACAUCAUUAACAAGAACCUCUCAUUACGGAAAACACAUAUUACCUAAGUCUUUUAUUCAUGUCACUUUUUCACCAUCUUUUCUUGACAUCUUAUUCUCAUAUCAUCAUCUUAAUUCUCAUAACAUCAAUCGCAUCAGUAUAAUAGUACCAAAAAUAAGUAAGUACCAUAGAAUUUCUAGUUUCAUAAUAACAAGAAAUCAAAUAAUCCCAUCACAUUUAUCAAUAAAAACAACUUAGUCAAUUUUCAUCACUUAACAAAAAUAAUUCACAACAAUAACAAAAAUCUAGCAAUACAAGUUUAGCCAAAUAUCAAACACAAGCAAUCAAUAAGUUCACAACUUUCACAAGUCUUUACCUAUUAACACUUUUAAACCUUAUUAACAGAUACCAAUUGGAAUAUCCUAGAUUUUUAUUCAAAAUUAUUAAGAUACCAAUUAGAAUUGUUCUAAAUACCAAUAACAUUCAAUCUAGUAGUCCAAAAUUAGGACGGCUCGAUUGAGAGAGAGAAACAAAAAUGACUUCUACAUGCCUCAUAGCCUUACGAAGAUUGGGUGUGGGGUCCUACACACCAAUCAACGGAACUCUACUUGACAUUAAUCUCAUUAACAGAUACCAAUUGGAAUCGCCAGAUACCAAAUGAAUCCAAGUAAUAGCAUGUAAGAAAGAAGAAUUUGAAUUUUCCUAUAGUCUUAUAACCUCUCGAGAAAAAGUACGGACGUCUCCGUACCAUUCCGCUAGACUUUACUAGACAUGUUCUUAUACGACGAGAUCGACGAACCUAGGGAUAAGAUCGACGAACCUAGGGCUCUGAUACCAACUUUAUCACAACCCAAAAGGCCAUGACCGGCACCCACACUAAUCUUCCUGUGGGAGAACCAUAUAAAUCGAACCAUUACUUAAUCACUUAGUCAAGAUUAAGAUAAUAUUAUUAUAAAAUCAACAUAAUAACAAUAAUUCAGGACUAAUCAAGAAGUCAAACAAACUACUUACUAAAAUCUCCAAGACACGAAAGUCAUCGUACAAGAACAACUAACAAAGAUCAUGUCUAAAGAGAUAUCCAAAAAUAAAGUAAAUAAAGAUUGUUUUCAUUGCUCCAAAGAUGGACAAGAACAAAUAAGAUGACCCAUGGCAUCCUGGAGACGAAGUGCUCACCCUUGGAUCAAGAUCUGCUAUCAAACUCUAGAGGUAAGGUCAUGUCUGAGCCUCUAGAACACUUUCUGCAUUCAACAAAAGAAGAGUACAGGGUAGUAUCAGUACAAACCACUAUGUACUGGUAGGUAUCAUAGGCCAACUCAAUUUAAUAGCAUGUACAUAACAUAAAGCAAAUAACAAGUAGACAGGCAUCGUCACAUAAUAAAUAUUCAAUGAAUCAAUAAUACAGCAACAACAGGACAAACAAUGCUCACAAAACAGUCACAUAACCAUCAAAUGUAUCAACCAUACUGUAAAUAUCCACAGAAUCAACAGAAAUAUGUACACACAUGUUAACAUAUUCGUACCAGCGUGGUACCCGAUCCAACAUAUACAUAUUCAUAUCGGCGUGGUACCCGAUCCAAUAUAUACAUAUCCGUACAGGCGUGGUACCCGAUCCAACAUAUACAUAUGCAUACCGGCGUGGUACCCGAUCCAACAUAUACAUAUUCGUACCGGCAUGGUACCCGAUCCAACAUAUACAUAUUCGUACCGGCAUGGUACCUGAUCCAAUAUAUACAUAUUCGUACCGGCGUGGUACCCGAUCCAAUAUAUACAUAUUCGUAUCGGCGUGGUACCCAAUCCAACAUAUACAUAUCCGUACCGGCGUGGUACCCGAUCCAACAUAUACAUAUCCGUACUGGUGUGGUACCCGAUCCAACAUAUACAUAUCCGUACCGGUGUUGUACCCGAUCCAACAUAUACAUAUCCAUACCAGCGUGGUACCCGAUCCAACAUAUACAUAUCCGUACCGACGUGGUACCCGAUCCAACAUAUAUAUAUUCAUAUCGGCGUGAUACCCCAUCCAACAUAUACAUAUCCAUACUGGCGUGGUACCCAAUCCAACAUAUACAUAUCCGUACCGGCGUGGUACCCAAUCCAACAUAUACAAGUAAUAUCAAUAUCAAAUUUAUACUAUCUCACAGUAUACAACAUGAUGUACCAAGUUUACAAGUACACUUAAAGUCAAAAGAUAAUUUCAUCAAGUAAAUUUUCAAAACUCAUUUAUACAUGCAUCAACAAUCCAAACAUCAACAAUUUCAAGCAUGUCCAAAUACCAAUCAACAGGUAUCCAAUUUAGGAGCAUACACACAAUUAAGUCGAGUCUAAACUUCAAUUAAGCCAUAACCUACCUCAACCGAAGAAUCCAACUGCAAGCUAAUUUGCAAGGGUCUUGCCCUUCCGUAAAACUUCCAAAUGUUUCAAAUCUGUUCACAUAUAUAAUCUUCAUAAGAGUAAGAACUAGUACAUUUAAUUUCAACUAAAAAGAGUCAUCCUUCUACCUCCAAAUCAAGAAUUGCCACCCUAAGAAUUCUAGACCAAAAAUUCUUAAUGUCACAUUAUAUCCGAUAAUCACUCAGUAAUUUUCGAAACCAAAACUGAAAAGAAAAGAACAAAAGUUGUUACUACUGGACGUUAUGCUUGAAUAAGAAACUGCAAGUUACAAAUUGCAUGAGAAAUAUAACUUUUGGCACUCUAUAUCAUUAUUAUCUAAUAAUUAGCAAUCAUUACUUUACCACUAAUUUGUAUAAUCAAUGAUUAACUAAUCAUGGCCACUAUAGGUAUUACUUGCUUAACAGAAAACAAUUUACCCAAAUCUUUCUUUUUUUACGAUCUUCACUGUACCGUGAUUAUAUACCCAAUACAUCCUAUAGCACUGUCAUAAGAGAAUGAUUAACUAAUCAUUACUUCAUUAUAUAUUUACUAAUUAAAUCAAAUUCUUAAUGGAAACUAGGGUUUGCUAACCAUCGUUCACCUCUUCUUCUGACUAUUUGCUUCUAUUUUU